rnacentral:rRNA from 1 species
AGAGUUUGAUCAUGGCUCAGAAUCAACGCUGGCGGCGCGCCUAACACAUGCAAGUCGAACGAGAAAGUGGAGCAAUCCAUGAGUACAGUGGCGUACGGGUGAGUAACACGUGGGUAAUCUACCUUUUAGUGAGGAAUAACCGAGGGAAACUUCGGCUAAUACCGCAUAAGCCCGAGAGGGGAAAGUCGAAAGACGCUGAAAGAGGAGCCCGCGGCCGAUUAGCUAGUUGGUGAGGUAAGAGCCCACCAAGGCAGAGAUCGGUAGCCGGCCUGAGAGGGCACACGGCCACACUGGCACUGAAACACGGGCCAGACUCCUACGGGAGGCAGCAGUGGGGAAUCUUGCACAAUGGGGGAAACCCUGAUGCAGCGACGCCGCGUGAGCGAUGAAGCCCUUCGGGGUGUAAAGCUCUUUCGUCAGGGAAGAUAGUGACGGUACCUGGAGAAGCAGCUGCGGCUAACUACGUGCCAGCAGCCGCGGUAAUACGUAGGCAGCAAGCGUUGUUCGGAGUUACUGGGCGUAAAGGGUGUGUAGGCGGUUCUUUAAGUUUGCUGUGAAAUCUCCCGGCUUAACCGGGAGGGUGCGGUGAAUACUGAGGGACUAGAGUACGGGAGAGGAAAGUGGAAUUCCUGGUGUAGCGGUGAAAUGCGUAGAUAUCAGGAGGAACACCGGUGGUGUAGACGGCUUUCUGGACCGACACUGACGCUGAGACACGAAAGCGUGGGUAGCAAACAGGAUUAGAUACCCUAGUAGUCC